CGUGUGCUAGCGGCUGCUGUUUGUGGUGUCACAGAGGAAACCAGAAACAGAGCAGAGCGUUCGUACAGGAAGACGCUGGUGAAUAAAGGAACUCAGAUCAAUUCUUCUUAUUAAAACACUCAUCAUGGAGCUGUGGAGUCGCCUCUGUCUUCUCGUUCUGGCUGCUACGGCAUCCACGAGAGGACAAGACACACUUGACGAGAAAGAAGAAGGUUUGACGAAUAACACGACUUUGACCUCUGAAGCUAAAAGUAGCAACAUCAGCUCCAACAUCUCCAGCACAACCUCCAGUAAUGUGUUUUCUACGACAGCAACGGUUCCACCUGAAGUCCAAACAUCGACCACCAACAAAAACGACACAGCGACCAUCAGCCCAAAGAGCGGGAACGCGAGCUCCAGUAUUACCACAGUGACGGUUACCACGGUAACGGAUGCUACAACUGUAACACCAGUGGGACACUGGGGUUCAACCACUGGUUAUGUGGUGCUGGCGUUGAUCAUCCUGGUGAUAAUCGUGCUCUGUAUCAUCCUCUUCUGUCUGAGGAGAGCUUCCAGGACUUACUCCUUUGACCUCCAGCGACCCGCUCCACCCAACCACGUCCACCUCCCCACCUUUGAACCCAUCGACUUGGAUGAUUUUGAACAAACGACUCCUAAAGCUCUUCAGAUGACUGAGAACCUGCAUCCUCCUCCUCCAUCUUCUUCUUCUGCGAUACCAAACGGAACAAGUCAGCGCUCAGAGGGAGAGGGGUCGAGUGACGAGAGCCACACAAGUUUAGAGGAACAGCUAGCGGCCAACGUUACCGAGGUUUUACCAAACGAGAACGUCCCUCCUACGUCCGAUAACCCGACGGAGCUGCAGCCGGACCAGUGGAGCUGCACCGACCUCUUCUUCGACGCUGACAACGGGGAGAAGAACCAGAAAACACCAUCAGUUUGUUCCAGUGAGCCCUUUGUCGAGGUAAACCUUGAAGAGGACGCAUGGUGACCCUCCCUUUGGCCGUCUGCUGUCUACCCCCCCCCCCAAAAACAAGAUGAAGACAAGCUUUUUUUUCAUUUCAUUUCUCUCAACUCAUCCAGAUUAGUCGUAAACCAAGUUCUAUCAAACAAAGUUCACCUGAACUAGUU
rnacentral:lncRNA from 1 species